rnacentral:rRNA from 1 species
UACGGGGGGGGCAAGCGUUGUUCGGAAUUACUGGGCGUAAAGGGCUCGUAGGCGGCCAACUAAGUCAGACGUGAAAUCCCUCGGCUUAACCGGGGAACUGCGUCUGAUACUGGAUGGCUUGAGUUUGGGAGAGGGAUGCGGAAUUCCAGGUGUAGCGGUGAAAUGCGUAGAUACCUGGAGGAACACCGGUGGCGAAGGCAGGUCUCUGGGCAUUAACUGACGCUGAGGAGCGAAAGCAUGGGGAGCGAACAGG